GUCAAGUACACUUAGUACGUGAGGAUUUGAGUACC
rnacentral:rRNA from 1 species